rnacentral:lncRNA from 1 species
CUUAAAUAACUUACUUAUUGAAGUUCCACCUUAAACACAAGGGAAAUGCUGUGCUAUUUAAGGUGGACAGAAACAUGUAAAACAGAAGCUUGAGAAUUAGAAGGAUCACCAUAAACAGACGUACAGGGGUAGUGGGGUAGUGCUCAUUCAGCCCAACCUCUGAGCAUGUUCAGCAGCCCUCACAACCAAAAAAUUAAUCAUCACCACCAUUCGAAAAGGCAGAGGAUCCAAAUGACCUUACCUGCUUUGAUCACUUUGACCCAGUGACCCCCUCCACUAAAGUUCCUCUGUGUAAGUUUUUUUUUUUUUUUAAAUACAGUUUGCUUAAUGACAGUAUACAUUAGAGAAUAUUUUUUUAGACCUUCAUGGCAGUGUUUAU